GCGCCUAUGGCUUAAUGGUAAAGCGCGUGACUAGUAAUCACGGUAAGUCAGAUACAACCUGCGACGAAAAAGCAUCGCUCACCCCUUAUAGAGAUUCUAGGUUCGAUUCCUAGUGGGCGCA
rnacentral:tRNA from 1 species